UUCAUUUGAAGAAAUAUAAACGUUGUUUUUUCUAUAAAUUAUUUAACAAUCGACGUUAAUAAUAAUUUUAAAAUAUUUAAAAUUCAAACGUCAUAUCGAGUAGUGGUAUCUGCCCAUAGCAACAGAAUGAGGUCGCUCCUUGCUGAAGCUGUUAGUUAUCAAUCAGUUUAUUAUAGCUUAUGAGAAGAAAGUACAAUUUAUGAUUAUUUUAAAGAAUUUCUGAAGAAAAUAAGCAUUUACUUUACGGAAUUCAGAAAGAUUAGUGUAAAUGCUGUAUAGAAUGGAAGGUGACUAUACAACUAUACCAGUGAAAUCAAAGAAAACAAAAGCUGUUGACAUUGAGGAAGGAUCACCUAGGAAAAGAAGACGAACUGCUGAAGAUUUUUUUACAUUUUGCAAAUACAUUUUAGAAUAUGAAAAUUAUGAAGCUACAAAAGAAGAGGUAAUUUUUAUUCAU